rnacentral:rRNA from 1 species
GACGAACGCUGGCGGCGUGCCUAAUACAUGCAAGUCGAGCGGACCAAAGGGAGCUUGCUCCUGGAGGUCAGCGGCGAACGGGUGAGUAACACGUGGGCAACCUGCCUGUAAGACUGGGAUAACAUCGAGAAAUCGGUGCUAAUACCGGAUAAUAAAAAGAACUGCAUGGUUCUUUUUUGAAAGAUGGUUUCGGCUAUCACUUACAGAUGGGCCCGCGGCGCAUUAGCUAGUUGGUGAGGUAACGGCUCACCAAGGCGACGAUGCGUAGCCGACCUGAGAGGGUGAUCGGCCACACUGGGACUGAGACACGGCCCAGACUCCUACGGGAGGCAGCAGUAGGGAAUCUUCCGCAAUGGACGAAAGUCUGACGGAGCAACGCCGCGUGAGUGAUGAAGGUUUUCGGAUCGUAAAACUCUGUUGUUAGGGAAGAACGAAGUGCCGUUCGAAAGGGCGGCACCUUGACGGUACCUAACGAGAAAGCCACGGCUAACUACGUGCCAGCAG